GAUGAACGCUGGCGGCGUGCCUAAUACAUGCAAGUCGAACGGAAGGACGAUAAGCUUGCUUCACUGGUGUUAGCGGCGGGCGGGUGAGUAACAGGUGGAUAACCCACCUAUAAGACUGGGAUAACUUAGGGAAAGCGGAACUAAUACCAGGUAAUAUUUUGAACCGGAUGGUUCGAAAGUGAAAGAGGGGCUUGCUGUCCCUUAUAGAUAGCUCCUCGCUGCAGUGGCUAGUUGGUAAGGUAACGGCUUACCAAGGCAACGAUGCAUGGCCGACCUGAGAGGGUGUUCCGCCACUCUGGAACUGAGACACGGUCCAGACUCUGACGGGAGGCAGCAGUAGGGAAGCUUCGGCAAUGGGCGAAAUCCUGAAGGAGCAACGCCGGCUUGGUGAUGAAGGUCUGCGGAUCGGAUAACUCUGUUAUUAGGGAAGAACAUAUGUGCAAGUAACUGUGCACUUCUUGACGGUACCUAAUCAGAAAGCCACGGCUAACUACGUG
rnacentral:rRNA from 1 species